rnacentral:tRNA from 2 species
GGCGCGAUGGCAGAGUGGUCAUGCAGCGGAUUGCAAAUCCGUCCACGUCGGUUCGAUUCCGGCUCGCGCCUCCA